GGGGGCGAAACGGUUUCGACGGGGUCGCAGUAGGUCGAGACAGCAUGCCGAGGGCGUUUGCACCUCGUAAAUCUCCGAACAAAACCAAAACGCCAACAACAACAACGCGUUCGCUAUCGCUGCUUAGUCAGUGUUAGCUGUCCGAACAGACUACUCUCCCAGGGUGCUGUUUGGGCAUGUCCAGACUGGGAUAGACCUGAGGCGCAAACGGCGUGGCUCUAGGGGUCGAUAAAUAACCAAAUCAAUUCGCCGACGACUCUAACGUAGGUUUGGUCCGAUGGACCUACGAGAGUUCGACACAUCGGGCUAAGCAUGUAGCGGUCAAGAACGAGUGAUUUCGGACGUGGGUUCGACUCCCACCGCCUCCACCU
rnacentral:tmRNA from 1 species